rnacentral:snoRNA from 1 species
UCCCUCUCAGGAUCGCACUUGGAGAGCUUCCAGUACUCUACUAGUCUCAGCUAUGAGAGGGAGAGUCAAGCAGAGGCAUAUCCAUUCCAUUCCUAGCUUAGGCAAUGGCUAGAGAGUGGAAGGCAAUCUGCAGCAAGU